rnacentral:rRNA from 1 species
GACGAACGCUGGCGGCGUGCUUAACACAUGCAAGUCGAACGAAGUGGCGAACGGGUGAGUAAUACGUGGGUAACUGCCCUCCUUUUUGGGAUAAGCCUUGGAAACGGGGUCUAAUACCGAAUAGAGGGGGGUGGCUCGCGGCCUAUCAGCUUGUUGGUGGGGUGAUGGCCUACCAAGGCGGGGACGGGUGGCCGGCCUGGGAGGGUGACCGGGCACAUUGGGCUGGGGUACGGGCCAGGGGCCUACGGGAGGCAGGGGUGAGGGAUAUUGCACAAAAGGGGAAACCAUGAUGGAGGAACGCCGGGUGCGGGAUGACGGCCUUCUGGUUGUAAACCGCUUUCAGCCAUGACGCGGUAGUGGCAGAAGAAGCACCGGCUAACUACGUGCCAGCAGCCGCGGUAAUAC